rnacentral:rRNA from 1 species
UACAGAGGGGGCAAGCGUUGUUCGGAAUUACUGGGCGUAAAGGGCGCGUAGGCGGCCUGCUACGUCGAACGUGAAAUCCCCGAGCUCAACUCGGGAACUGCGUCCGAUACUGGCAGGCUUGAAUCCGGGAGAGGGAUGCGGAAUUCCAGGUGUAGCGGUGAAAUGCGUAGAUAUCAGGAGGAACACCCGUAGCGAAGGCGGCACUCUGGGCCGAUACUGACACUGAGGAGCGAAAGCGUGGGGAGCGAACAGG